UUGGAAGGGCGGAGAAUCGCUUUCAGCGCAAGCUGGAGGAGGAAAGUCCGAACUCCGCAGGGCGCGAUGCCGCGUAACCUCCAACGCGGAACUCGGAACGGGGAACUCGGAAAUUUCCGCGUUUCGAGUUCUGCGUUGAUGGGAUACACGCGGGCAGAAUGUCGAAAUACAUUUUGACGGACAGUGCCACAGAAAAUAAACCGCCCAGCCCUUCCUAAAAUCGUCGGAUUAAGAGCGAUUCGAGCGCGAACAACUCGCAAAAAUAAUUUUCAGUUCGACAAUUUUAGGAAGGGCCGGGUAAGGGUGAAAAGGUGGUGUAAGAGACCACCGCUUCGCCAGCAAUGGCGAGGGCACGGAAAACCCCAUCGGGUGCAAGGCCAAAUAGGAAACCUUCGGAGCGGCCCGCUCCACGCGCAAGCACGGUUUCGGGUAUGGCUGCUUAGACAAAUGAUUCUCUCCGUCGCGCAAGCGGCGCAGACAAAAAUCGGCUUACAGCCCUUCUAAAAUC
rnacentral:RNase_P_RNA from 1 species